rnacentral:ncRNA from 12 species
UAUAAGUGCAGGUAGAAAUACACUGCAUACUCGCGUCACCGAACUAAUUGUUUAAGCGAUAUGCAAUAUCGUCGGCCGCGGGGGGCGCCUUCGGGCGUCUUUUUUUUUUU